GCUGGCGGCGUGCCUAACACAUGCAAGUCGAACGCCCUGCGCAAGCAGGGAGUGGCGGACGGGUGAGGAACACGUGGGCAUCUACCUUUAGGUGAGGAAUACCGGCGAGAAAUCGCCGACAAGACCGCAUAAGCUCCCGCAAGGGAGGAAAGUCGCAAGACGCCUGAAGAUGAGCCUGCGCCCGAUUAGCUAGUUGGUGGGGUAAAAGCCUACCAAGGCGACGAUCGGUAGCUGGUCUGAGAGGACGAUCAGCCACACUGGGAUUGAGAACGGCCCAGACUCCUACGGGGGGCAGCAGUGAGGAAUUUUCGUCAAUGGGCGCAAGCCUGAACGAGCAACGCCGCGUGCAGGAAGAAGGUUUUCGGAUCGUAAACUGCUUUUCUGUGGGAAGAGAACGGACGGUACCACAGGAAGAAGCCCCGGCUAACUACGUGCCAGCAGCCGCGGUAAUACGUAGGGGGCAAGCGUUGUCCGGAGUUACUGGGCGUAAAGGGCGUGCAGGCGGUUUGGCAAGUUUGGAGUGACA
rnacentral:rRNA from 1 species